UAAUUAUUUUGUUUUAAUUGCUAAUCAUGUGCGCAAAAAAAAAUCCUCCAAAUCAGCAUAUGCUCUUUGUGUCACAGUUUGCUUAUCUCCCCACCUCCACCUCCACCUCACCAGCCAGCCAGACACUCCCACCUCAUCAGCUCACCUGGGCUCCAGCUGCGUCUCAUGUCCAAUCAAGACAGUAUAGCUCUUUGCUGCCAGCAGCUGGUAGGGAUGGAUGUCUCAGAUGCUGGUGCUGACUGAUGGGCAGCUCUUAGCCAAACCUCACGGGGGCUUCUCAAGGAAGCUCGUGGCCUGAGAGACACAGACGAGACUGAUGAGAAUUCUGAGGUGUGCUGAUCGACCGGUCUGCCAUCAACACCCUGCAGCCCCUCCCUCUGCUCCACCCUCGACUGCAGAGCCAAGCCAGUGUGUCUUUGUGUUGAUGCCAACCUAUGUGUAUAUGUGUGUAUGUUAAUACAUGUAUACACUUUUUUUUUUUUUUACAGUAGUUCAGGUCUUAGGAGUCACUAAUACAGUAAUGAAAGUACAUUUACGAUGAAAACGAUGUGAAAGUGGUCGCCCAUAGUGAUGAACUACAGAGAAUUAUCACCUGAAUCUGCAGCUCCCCUCUGCUUCAGCUAUAGAUACUGAUUUUCAGCUCAUUGUUUAACUUUCUGACCUUCAACAUUCCCACUUUGGUUCACCCUUUUAGGCCGCAGCUCUAAAAAAGCUCUGAUAAAGCCAAUGUACACUAACUGCACAGCAGCAAUCAGCAGGCAAACACAGUUAGAGACUAGUUUGGUCAACAUUGAGGAACAUUUAGCAACUAAAGAGACGGAUAAUUUUCUCACAAGUUGAAACAAACACAAUUUAAAAUGAAUGAUGAUGUUUCUGUGUCUGUCGGAUGUGUGAAUAAGCAACUGUUUGCAAUAUGUACAUUUUUAAACUUGUUUCUGCUGAACCCAAUUGGCCAUGACAUUUCAGUUAUUGCAGCUUUAAGUACAAUUAUAAGGCACUGUAGGCUUUCUUCCAUUUUAUUCUACUUUAAAGUUCUGCUUCACUCCAUUUCUUAACCAUAUGGCAAAGUGGGUAUGAUGUGUACUCGACCUGCUCCCAGCAUCACACUUUUAUUUACCUUUCAAACUUCGCCAUUUUCAAAAUAAACUAUUUGUAAUAGUUUUAUGAGUCAUUGUUGACUACCCACCAAUGUCAAAUGACGUAGAAGCUAUUAAGCUAUUAAAAAAAAACUUUUUUUUCCAUUAAUAACUGGAAAACUCAGUUUAUAUGGAACAAAAUAAUCCCCAGAAUUCGGAGAGGCAUUCUUAAAAAAAACAAUUAAAUGGGUGGUUGAGCAUCACUUAACUUUUAUUGUAUUACUAUAUUGCAUUGUUGUGGUAUUAACAUCAACUCCCAACCUGGCUACAGACUGAGGACGCCUCUUGAGGUUCUUCCUCUAUGAAUUCCCUCUUGUGCUCCCCCUGUCAUUAUCAUCUUCAAAACACUCCAAAGAUAUUAUAGUUAACGGUAUGGGCUCAAUUUAAACGUCACUUUGGAUUCCAGGAAAUACCUCUUCUGUCCCCUGUAGAUCCCAAUCUGCUGUUCCCUCCAUCUAUUAUUGAUGGGGCUUUUGCAACCUGGGAAAACCAUGGGGUUGUCCCUGUAAAUCAUCUUUACAUUGAUGGAACAUUUGCAUCUUUUCAACAGCUAACUAGUGUAUUCAAUUUACCGUGACUUUGUUCGUAAUCGUUUCCCUGAUUUGCCCACUAUUCCUCCUUCUACCUGGGCUGACACAAUUUUCGAUAUCAAGCCUUACCUCAAGGGUACCAUUUCAAAGAUAUACAACACUCUCUCCACAUGCCAGCCUUCAGCCUCAGAUAAUAUACGCACUAUUUGGUACGAGGAUCUCAAUAUAGAGAUAGAGACUGGGGUUUGGCAGUCAGUUGUGAAACAUGUCCACUUGUCAUCUAUUUGUGCCUGCCACGGGGUCUUACAAUUUAAAGUAGUCCACAGAGUCCACUGGUCUAAAAGUAAACUACCUCGCACGUAACCUGGCACAAUCUCAGCGACAUGUUUUGGACCUGCCCUACCUCUAAUUUGGAAGUAUUUUUUGACUCACUCUCAGCCAUGACAGUUUUCACCCGUCAGCGCUGGUUGGCUUGUUUAGUGUCCUGCCCACUGACCAUUCACUGCCAUCCUAUUACUUUGAACUCUUAGAUUUUCUUUGUUGUGUCGUUGAUAGUCGUACUAUCACAACUACCUCUACCAACCUCACUCUAUACUCUACAAUGCUUUCUUUCAUUUUACCUAUUUACUGGAACAUGGAAUUGGAACAUGGAAGUGUUUUUGUAAUGUAUUGUUGUUGUGUUUGAUGAUAAAAACUC
rnacentral:lncRNA from 1 species